UUCUCGCUCCCGAUCCAACUCCCUCCCGAGCAAAUUCAUCCCCUCCGGCCUCGACUCGGCCUCCUCUCCUAUGCCACUCGCCUUCUCCACAGCCGCCCGCCACACGCCGCCCGCCCACAGGUUGUCCGCCGCCGCUUCGAGGGCUAGCAUCCCCGCGUGCCUCCUUCGUUCCAGUACCCGAUUGGACUGCACGAGUGCCCCCACCGCACCAUCAGGGGGCACCGCGGGAGUACAGCCACCGCACCACCAGGGCACUACCACCGCGUGUGCCGGCGAUGCGUGAGCCGCCGCUUGUGCGGCACCGAUUGCCGCUUCCAACGAUGCAGGAGCCACUCAAUCCGGCGAGGAUGCCGGGCGCUGUCACCACUGAUUCUCAGGGUGUGCGUGCCGCAUCCGAAACUCCCCUAAUGUGCUCCUCCACUCCGCUUAUAACAUGUCGUUCAUCCAUGGCUCUCUGUUGCUAUGCGCCGUUGAGCUCUGGAGCCGUUGCCGUCGAAGCCCAUCGCCAGCCGUCCUCGGGUGGGCCGACGCCCAAACUCGGCUCCAGUGACAUCCCCGCUAGAGGUCCUCCUCCACCUCUUCUUCUAUUAGAGGUGUUGUCAAGAAUUUCAUCGCACCCACUGCUUUCCCUCCGAGGUAGUUGCCGCCUGCAGCCAUGCACAAGUGUCAUCACCUGCAUCUCCUCUGUGUGUUCCCGUCUCUCCAUGCCGCACGAGGAUGCAGUCAUCAUAUCUGUGAGUAGUGAUGUUAACCCCAUAAAAAGGACCGCAGGUGGACAUCUGCUAUAAAUAAUCAGGUACUUCUUUCUCAUUAUCAAAGUGAAAUGCUCAGUGAAACUAUCCAAUGGAUGGACUGGUUAUUUAACACUGAAUGAUCAGAGCUUUAUUCUCUUCUUUUCUCCUCUUCCAUCCACUAAAACAUCUGCAUUGCAUGCUUCUUACUUCUCUGAGUGCUUAAACAUAAAUAAGAAAACCGAAUUCUCUAUGGGCAUGAAUAAUCUUUCGAUUCAAACAGAAAAAUCAAAAUGUGGUUCCAGUUCCGGGAGGUAUGGCGUGGUUUCUUUGCUGGCAUGUGCAUGUGUUGUUUGUCUGUUGCCGGGUGGAUUGCACAGUGGUGGUGCCGGGAGCCAGGGGUCAUCAGAGAAGAGAGAUGCUGACGUCACGCAAAACGAGCCUUGCUUGGCAUUGACUGAAUCCUCCACACAUUAUUUGUUGGCAAUUGAGCCUUGCUUGGCACGUGCUUGGCAUUGACUGAAUCAUACAGUGGCGAGCUUGUAUCCCGGCCAACCUCUUCAUCUUGAUUUUUUAGAAGCUAAAUCACUUCAAAAGGAGGCCUGGAUUACCUUAUAUUCAGCAUUGAUCACACAGACUAGAUUUUUUGAAGAUGGAAAAGUCUGACAAUUGAAAACCUAUCCGAGAAUCAUGCUUGUUUGUGUGCUGCAAUUUGCACCUAGAGAGGUCUCCUGCCAUAUACGCUCGCCAAGAUCUUUGUCGUAGUCAUUAGGACGCGGGAUGGCAUUGUCGGGAUACACGCUCGCCAAGGUCUCCUGCCAUAUAGGCCCGUGAGAAAUCCAGGGCGUGUUACUCUGCAGCAUCAUGACCACAAUGGUGCCUUGGUUUUGAAAAUACAAUUUGAAUGGCAUCACAACAUUUAGUAGACAUUUUUUUCAACAGUUGCUUUAUUUUUUAUACCGUGUGAAUCUCCCUUGGUUAACGCUUGAGACGUGUGUUACACAUGAUUAAUUUUUCGCGACUUAUUGUUGUUGCUGUUGCCCGUGAGGUACUUGAAAAAAUUCUCGGCAUGUGGCGCUCUUCAAUGACGUGUUCUCUUUUGAAGAGCAAGCAGACAAAGCAUGAGAGCGCUAUGAUCCUACAAAUUCUUGACUGCUUCUAUACCCGUGUAUUUGUUUUAUCUUUUAUUUUUGACUUAUUUUAUUCUCUUGAGUACUCCCUCCGUUCCGAAUUACUUGUCUUAGAUUUGUCUAGAUACGGAGG